rnacentral:lncRNA from 1 species
UUCUCUUCUUUUCUUUCUUUCUCUCUCUCUCUCUCCCUCUCUUUCUCCCUCCCUCUCUCCCUUCCUUCCUUCCCUCCUUCCUUCCUUUCUUUCUAGGACCGCACUUACAGCAUAUGGAAGUUCCCAGGCUAGGGGGGUGGAAUUGGAGUGGCAGCUGCCAGCCUACACUACAGCCGCAGCUACACCAAAUCUGAGCCACAUCUUCGACCUUACAGGGCAGCUCUCAGCAAUGCCUGAUCGUUAACCCACUGUGCGGAGGACGGAGAUCGAACUUGCCACCAGGCUAUGCAGAGACACCACUGAUACUGUGGCACCACAGCACAAACCAGGACUAGGGUUUCUAAACCAAUUCUUCCCAGGAGAAAUAUCACAAGAGCAAAGGGAUCUCCAGAAGUUAUCUUUGAGCACAAAAGGGGACAAGGGCGUAAGGAGGAGCGCAGGGCUCUCAAGGACAGUGAUGCUGGGUCCUCCCCUCCGGGUUCAACGUCAAGGCCACUGGCACAAUGUGGGUUUCAUUAAUGGCUCAAAGACAAGAGCUCACAGAGUUAUAAGUUCAAGAUGUUAUUGAAAAACCCACAUUGUGUUUUUUCAUCCCCACCUACCAUUCCCCCAAGGGUUUUCUUCAGCCAUUUUCUAAAAAUCUUUUACCAUGGUUCCACCCAAGUGGUCAUAUUUCUAAGGAUCUGGGGUAAAGCAUCCUGGGGCCAGUGAAACCCAAACCGGUGUGGUAGAGAGAUGAUGCUAUUUCCUCUGCCUCUCAGGGGGAGAUGGGGUAAAAGCUGUGAACCCGCUAAGUACAUAAGCAGAAUCGUGUGGGUGGCCCCAGAGAGGGACACCUGUUUUGCUACUAAAGGCAGGAUCACAAACAUAAUUUUUCCACUAUACUCUCCUAUUGAGACUCAGCCAGCACUGUAAGCCCAGGGGAAUUUCUAGAGUGAUUUAGAGCAAGAUCUCACAAGGUCUUAAAGACAUACUCUUGGGAAAGCGUCACUGCGUUAAAAGUCUGGAGACAUUCUUCAUCGAUGCAGACUAUUCCUUAGACUAUUCCACUACACUGUUCAUUGUUGGGAUUCAAGUCAUUUCCAGUCUCUUCCUAUUAUCAACAA